rnacentral:rRNA from 1 species
AACGGGGGGGGCUAGUGCUAUGCAACCUAACUGGGUGUUAAGGGCGCGCAGGCGGAUUAUUAUGUUUUUUAUAAAAGUCUCGGUCUCAAACUGAGAAAUUGUUUUUAUACUAAUGAUCUUUGAGUUUAGAAGAGUAAAAUGGUACGGAUAAUGGACGGGUGGAAUAGGCAAAAAUAUUUCGGACCACCUUUGGUGAAGACGGUUUUAUAGUUCUGUUUUAAACUGACGCUGAUGCGCAAAGGGUAGGGGAGCAAACGGG